rnacentral:rRNA from 1 species
GAUGAACGCUGGCGGCGUGCCUAACACAUGCAAGUCGAACGGCAAGACAGUGAGCUUGUGCCUCUACCGUUGGCGGCGGGCGGGCGGGUGACGAGUGGAUCGGCAUCUUCUUUUUCGGGGGUGAUUACGGAGGAAAGCAUAUGCUAAUAGCGCAUAUGUUCUACCGGAGAGAGCAGUGGUUCAUCGCAUCUUGCGUGAUUCUAUUAGCCGAUGCCGCGCUUGCUUGGUGGCUGGGUAAAGGCCUACCAAGACGACGAAGCGUAGCCGACCUGAGAGGAUGAUCGGCCACACUGGAACUGAGACACGGUCCAGACUCCUACGGGAGGCAGCAGUAGGGAAUCUUGGGCAAUGGGCGAAAGCCUGACGCAGCAACACCGCGUGGGUGACGAAGGCCUUCGGAUCGUAAAGCCCUUUUAUUGGGGAAGAAAAGCUGUAGAAUUAACCCCGGCUGUUGUGACGGUACCCAAUCAGUAAGCCCCGGCUAACUACGUG